rnacentral:lncRNA from 1 species
AGGGGGAGGCUGCAGGGUGGGCAGCAGGGGGCCCAGGCCUUGCCCAUGUCCCACCAUGACCCCACCCUGUGCACAUGGGUGUUUCCUGCUCCCUAGGGAGGAACCAGUGGGGAGAAGGAGGGGGUUGUGAGCCUGGGUGGCCAGAGGCCUCAGACAGGGGAAGGAGGAGCAAGGAGAGCCCAGAAAGAAACCAUGGAGCACUGCCUGGUAGCAGGAUGUCCAUUGGGCCACAGGCACGACCCUGAAGUGUCGGGAGCAGGAAGACAAGUCGGGGCCUGGUGCUUGGGACGUCUGUGUGGGAACGCUGGGCAGUAAGCCGGCCAGAUGCAGGUGGUGUGGGGGCUCUGCCCUUCCUCCCCUGGGCAUGGGUGCUACCUGCAACACUCUGGUGUUCCUAGGCAUGAGGGCCAGCCACAGACGUCUCCACUGGAGUUCCCCGGUGCACAGACAGUGAUAAGCUUGCAGGACAAGACCCCAGAGUUGGACCUGUGGUUAGAGGCAGCCGGGGAGCUCUGUGAGGGACAGACGGGAGGCACAGACUGGCCCAGCCUUCCAGUGGCCGACCACCGCCCCUCAUUUCCCCUCUUCCUUCCUCUCUCCCUUCCUUCCUUCCUUCCUUCCUCCCUUCCCCUCUCAAUUCCUUCCUAGAAAGAUACUGCAUUCCCAAGAGGAUACAGUGGAUGACCAAAGGCCACCCAUAAAAUUAACCAAGGGAGAGACUGAAUCAGGGUGUAU